UUAAAUUGAAGAGUUUGAUCAUGGCUCAGAUUGAACGCUGGCGGCAGGCCUAACACAUGCAAGUCGAACGGUAACAGGAAGCAGCUUGCUGCUUUGCUGACGAGUGGCGGACGGGUGAGUAAUGUCUGGGAAACUGCCUGAUGGAGGGGGAUAACUACUGGAAACGGUGGCUAAUACCGCAUAAUGUCGCAAGACCAAAGAGGGGGACCUUCGGGCCUCUUGCCAUCAGAUGUGCCCAGAUGGGAUUAGCUUGUUGGUGAGGUAACGGCUCACCAAGGCGACGAUCCCUAGCUGGUCUGAGAGGAUGACCAGCCACACUGGAACUGAGACACGGUCCAGACUCCUACGGGAGGCAGCAGUGGGGAAUAUUGCACAAUGGGCGCAAGCCUGAUGCAGCCAUGCCGCGUGUAUGAAGAAGGCCUUCGGGUUGUAAAGUACUUUCAGCGGGGAGGAAGGUGUUGUGGUUAAUAACCGCAGCAAUUGACGUUACCCGCAGAAGAAGCACCGGCUAACUCCGUGCCAGCAGCCGCGGUAAUACGGAGGGUGCAAGCGUUAAUCGGAAUUACUGGGCGUAAAGCGCACGCAGGCGGUCUGUCAAGUCGGAUGUGAAAUCCCCGGGCUCAACCUGGGAACUGCAUUCGAAACUGGCAGGCUUGAGUCUUGUAGAGGGGGGUAGAAUUCCAGGUGUAGCGGUGAAAUGCGUAGAGAUCUGGAGGAAUACCGGUGGCGAAGGCGGCCCCCUGGACAAAGACUGACGCUCAGGUGCGAAAGCGUGGGGAGCAAACAGGAUUAGAUACCCUGGUAGUCCACGCCGUAAACGAUGUCUACUUGGAGGUUGUGCCCUUGAGGCGUGGCUUCCGGAGCUAACGCGUUAAGUAGACCGCCUGGGGAGUACGGCCGCAAGGUUAAAACUCAAAUGAAUUGACGGGGGCCCGCACAAGCGGUGGAGCAUGUGGUUUAAUUCGAUGCAACGCGAAGAACCUUACCUGGUCUUGACAUCCACAGAACUUUCCAGAGAUGGAUUGGUGCCUUCGGGAACCGUGAGACAGGUGCUGCAUGGCUGUCGUCAGCUCGUGUUGUGAAAUGUUGGGUUAAGUCCCGCAACGAGCGCAACCCUUAUCCUUUGUUGCCAGCGGUCCGGCCGGGAACUCAAAGGAGACUGCCAGUGAUAAACUGGAGGAAGGUGGGGAUGACGUCAAGUCAUCAUGGCCCUUACGACCAGGGCUACACACGUGCUACAAUGGCGCAUACAAAGAGAAGCGACCUCGCGAGAGCAAGCGGACCUCAUAAAGUGCGUCGUAGUCCGGAUUGGAGUCUGCAACUCGACUCCAUGAAGUCGGAAUCGCUAGUAAUCGUGGAUCAGAAUGCCACGGUGAAUACGUUCCCGGGCCUUGUACACACCGCCCGUCACACCAUGGGAGUGGGUUGCAAAAGAAGUAGGUAGCUUAACCUUCGGGAGGGCGCUUACCACUUUGUGAUUCAUGACUGGGGUGAAGUCGUAACAAGGUAACCGUAGGGGAACCUGCGGUUGGAUCACCUCCUUACCUUAAAGAA
rnacentral:rRNA from 1 species